UACGGGGGGGGCAAGCGUUGUUCGGAAUUACUGGGCGUAAAGGGCUCGUAGGCGGCCCUCUCAGUCGGAUGUGAAAUCCCCAGGCUUAACCUGGGAACGGCAUCCGAUACUGGAGGGCUUGAAUUCGGGAGAGGGAUGCAGAAUUCCAGGUGUAGCGGUGAAAUGCGUAGAUAUCUGGAGGAAUACCGGUGGCGAAGGCGGCAUCCUGGACCGACAUUGACGCUGAGGAGCGAAAGCUAGGGGAGCAAACGGG
rnacentral:rRNA from 1 species